AACAAACAAUCAAAAAAUCAAAACAAACAAGAGGCAAUACUACAAUACGGAGAUUAGGAAACAUGGCAAAUAAUAUCAAAUCGAAUAGCACAAAAUACCAGAGAUUUAGUGAGAGAGAUUUUAGAGCUAACUAAAUGUAUACGACUCAAACUGUAAAGAUAAAAUCUGGCUAAGACUCACUAACCAGCGCAAAACUGGCACGAUUACAAAGAAUAUUUGUAGUCUAUAUAAUAAUAUAUAAUCGAGAAUACAAGCAUUCUAUAUUAGAUGUCCAAACUAUGGAAAUACUAACAGAUAAAAGUGUCAAUACUAAAUCGUGUAUGGACGAUUUUCUUUUCCAUAUUACGUUAUAGUGCGAGAUUUGAAUCAGCUUCUAACCGUGCUAAGUGAGGCUAUGUGACAAAGGUUUUAUUUAGGAAAUAGUGAACAAUAAUUUCUUAGUUAUAAGUUU